CUCUGAGGUGGGAGCCGAGCAGCCAGCAGGGGAGCCCUGCGAGGGACCAGGAGGGCAGUGGCCGCAUGGGCAUGCUAAGAGGGGUGAGCACUGGGGGGUGGCUUUAUCCGCAGACUUGGGCCGGGGCGGAAGGUCUAGGGAGUGUGCAGCAAACUGCGUAGGAAGCACAGAACUCGCCAGGUGAGAGGAUGAAUGCCGAUUCCCAGGGCUGCCCUAAGACUCAGCCAUAAUCGCGAAGGCUAUUAAAUGGCGAAGGGCCGCAGCCUUAACAGCAAAACCCAUGUCCCUGCGGGCUAGGUGACCAUGCUGCACAUCACCUAGGUUUGGGGCCACCACCCUGCCCUCCAUGGCCACUCCCCAUCCGUGCACAUUGCCUCUCCAAGCCCCUGUCCCCAGCAAAGCUACAGGGUCCUCUCCUCCCUCCAACCCCUACUCAAGGGGUCACAAAGAAGAGCAUCCUUCUGCCUGGGUUUGGCUGGAAGGGGGCUGCCGGGCCCAGGAGACCAGCCCCUCCCGCCCAGCAUGAGUCACUUGUACCCAGCCGUGUUCCAGAAAGGACUGCAGAGGCCAACACUGGCUGGACACUGCUAGACAUGUGACUGGCCUGGUGAGUCACACAGUGUCUGGGGCCUCAGUUACCUCAUCUAUGAAAUGGCCACACGGGGUAUGAGCGCAGAGGCUGGACCCGGCCUGGGGGACUCUUCUGCCUGCACCGCACCCCUGUGCAGCCUUUGUUGGGGGCAGUUCUGGCCGUUCUCGCACAGACCUUUUAUCGUUUUUACCAUUUGUGCAAAAUUUUCACCAUUCCUGGCUCACAGAGGAGGAAACAGAAGGCUCCCGAGGCUGCCUGCCUUGAACUUCGAUGAAGAAAAGGCUGUUUCACUCUGACCUCAGCUGUGGGACAGACCCGACUGGACCCCCAGGUUUGGAACAAGAGUGGCACAGAACAAAUGCCGCAUCCAAGCAUCACGGCCUUAGUCACCCAAUAAGAAACGACCUGUGCACAGCGACUGCAGAGCUCUUCACCUGCAGGGUCCCCAGCCUCUCCCCACCUCUAAAAGCGCCUUUCUUCUACAAGCUGAGGCUCAUUUUGCUCUCGUUUCCCAUGAAGACAGCCAACCACGACCAUUCACCUUCC